UACCUGGUUGAUCCUGCCAGUAGUCAUAUGCUUGUCUCAAAGAUUAAGCCAUGCAAGUCUAAGUACGAGCUCUCGUACAGUGAAACUGCGAAUGGCUCAUUAAAUCAGUUAUGGUUCAUUUGAUCGUACAGUUUACUUGGAUAACUGUGGUAAUUCUAGAGCUAAUACAUGCGAGAAGCGCCGACCUCGCGGGAGGCGUGCAUUUAUCAGACCAAAAACCGGCCGCGUCUUCGGGCGCGUUCGCCUUGGUGACUCUGGAUAACUUUGCGGAUCGCACGGUCUAGCACCGGCGACGGAUCAUUCAAGUGUCUGCCCUAUCAACUUUCGUCGGUACGGUAUUUGCCUACCGAGGUUCUUACGGGUGACGGGGAAUCAGGGUUCGAUUCCGGAGAGGGAGCCUGAGAA
rnacentral:ncRNA from 1 species